rnacentral:rRNA from 1 species
GCCAGACUCCUACGGGAGGCAGCAGUGGGGAAUAUUGCACAAUGGGGGAAACCCUGAUGCAGCAACGCCGCGUGGGUGAAGGAGCGUUUCGGCGCGUAAAGCCCUGUCAGCGGGGAAGAAGAAAGACGGUACCCGACCAAGAAGCCACGGCUAACUACGUGCCAGCAGCCGCGGUAAUACGUAGGUGGCAAGCGUUGUCCGGAUUUACUGGGUGUAAAGGGCGUGCAGCCGGAGAGACAAGUCAGAUGUGAAAUCCACAGGCUCAACCCGUGAACUGCAUUUGAAACUGUUUCCCUUGAGUGUCGGAGAGGUAAUCGGAAUUCCUUGUGUAGCGGUGAAAUGCGUAGAUAUAAGGAAGAACACCAGUGGCGAAGGCGGAUUACUGGACGAUAACUGACGGUGAGGCGCGAAAGCGUGGGGAGCAAACAGGAUUAGAUACCCCCGUAA